rnacentral:rRNA from 1 species
GCUUACGACCACACUGGCCUGAGUACGCCUGAUCUCGCUGAUCUCGGAAGCUAAGCAAGGUCGGGCCUGGUUAGUACUUGGAUGGGAGACGCCUGGGGAAUACCAGGUGCUGUAAGCU